UGGGGAAUAUUGCACAAUGGGCGCAAGCCUGAUGCAGCCAUGCCGCGUGUGUGAAGAAGGCCUUCGUGUUGUAAAGCACUUUCAGCGGGGAGGAAGGCGGUGAGGUUAAUAACCUCAUCGAUUGACGUUACCCGCAGAAGAAGCACCGGCUAACUCCGUGCCAGCAGCCGCGGUAAUACGGAGGGUGCAAGCGUUAAUCGGAAUUACUGGGCGUAAAGCGCACGCAGGCGGUCUGUCAAGUCGGAUGUGAAAUCCCCGGGCUCAACCUGGGAACUGCAUUCGAAACUGGCAGGCUAGAGUCUUGUAGAGGGGGGUAGAAUUCCAGGUGUAGCGGUGAAAUGCGUAGAGAUCUGGAGGAAUACCGGUGGCGAAGGCGGCCCCCUGGGCAAAGACUGACGCUCAGGUGCGAAAGCGUGGGGAGCAAACAGG
rnacentral:rRNA from 1 species